GAAUAACUAUUCUUGCUUUGAUACCAUUUUUUAAAAUGUUUUUGCUUUAUUUUAUUUUUUUCAUCAAAGUGGCCAAUCCGAUGGCUCAAUAAAAGUAUGUAGUCUCAAGUCCAACGUCAAAAACAUUGGACAAAUUUUGUGUAUGGCUCUUUCAAGAUGUACGUUGACUUUCAAAAAGCUCUCUCCUGAUUGGAGAGAGUGGUUGCCAUAGAAACAUUGACUCAGAUCAACUUGGACCAAUCACCGCUUACCGACGACAGCUGAAUCCAACAUGGCAAAAAAAAAAAAGGUGACUAAAUUGACUUAAUUUCAUUGGAUCCAGAAUUAAGUAACUCUUUAUGAAUGACAUCACACUCACUUGCUCCAGUUCUCAUAUACAGUCAAUAUAUGUUUUCAAUUAUUCAGUGAAACGUUGUUAUUUUGUAAAGGAAACAGUAACAGCAGGUAAAACAGCCUUCACAACAGCUUCCCGCCUGUUUCUAAGAACCCCUCCUGAAGGGAGUUCAGCAGCAGGUGCAGAGAUCUCUAAUUCUGUCCCACCUCCCAACCGCCACUGGAAUCCCACAAUGCCGCUGGUGACCCCAUUAAAAAUGAAGGUUACAACAGCAAGCCACAGGCUUCUCGCUCCAUGAUGCAUCUACUUGUGGACGAUUAGAUCCACGGCCAGAAUGGCAUCUGGAUUACGGCGGGAAAGCUCUAAUGGUGCUCGCCAUUUUUGUCGAUGUUCGGUUGGGGGGGUUUGAGGAGGUGUAAGCACGUGUGAGUGUAAACAGAGGGAUGAUGGGAAGAAGGCGGGCUUACUUCCACGUCAAUGGUCCCAAAAUCAUGAUUAAAAGUUACUUACUG